rnacentral:rRNA from 1 species
UUUUUUUAAUAAAGAGUUGGGCCUGCUCGGUGAAUGUAGUUUAACAGCUGCGGUAUUAUAACUGUACUAAGGUAGCAUAAUAAUUUGCCUUAUAAAUUAGGGCUAGAAUGAAUGGUUUGACGAGAAUUUAACUGUCUCUAUUUUAUUUAUUAGAAGUUAAUUUUUAUAGUGAAAAAGCUUGGAUGAUUUAAAGGGACGAGAAGACCCUAUUGAGCUUGAUAUUAAUAUUUAAAUAUAGGGUUUUAUGUUUAUAAUUAAUUAUUUAUUAUAUAAAUGUUUAUUGGAGUGUAAUUUUGAUUGGGGUGAUCAAGGAAUAAAAAUUUAAUUUUGUAACUUCCUUAAAGUAGAUUUAUUUUAUUGAAUAAUAAACCAAAAUUUUUUGCUUAUAUGAUAAGUUACCAUAGGGGUAACAGCGUAAUUUUUUUUAAGAGUUCAUAUUGAAAAAAAAGAUUGCGACCUCGAUGUUGGAUUAAAAAUAACCUUAAGGUGUAGAGGCUUUAUUAGGUGAAUCUGUUCGAUUUUUAAAA